rnacentral:rRNA from 1 species
GACGAACGCUGGCGGCGUGCCUAACACAUGCAAGUGGAGCGACGAACCAGGCUUCGGCCUGGGGCAAGGCCGCGAACGGGUGAGUAACACGUGGGUAACCUGCCCUGAUGAUUGGGACAACCCGAGGAAACUCGGGCUAAUACCGAAUGUGCCCUCCGGCCUCAAGGCCGCUGGGGAAAGGAAGCUUCGGCCUCCGCGUCGGGAUGGGCCCGCGGCCCAUUAGCUUGUUGGUGAGGUAACGGCNCACCAAGGCGACGAUGGGUAGCUGGUCUGAGAGGACGAUCAGCCACACUGGGACUGAGACACGGCCCAGACUCCUACGGGAGGCAGCAGUGGGGAAUCUUGCGCAAUGCGCGAAAGCGUGACGCAGCAACGCCGCGUGGGGAAGAAGGCCU